rnacentral:tmRNA from 1 species
GGGGGCGUAAAGGUUUCGACGGGGGUCAUGAACUUCGUUAAGCACGCAGAGUCCGCCUGAACUCUUUAAUAACGGGCAAUUUAAAAUUAAACGCAGAUUCUAACGAACUUGCAUUAGCUGCCUGAGUGCAGCUCGUCCUGCCGAUGAGUGCUGCGGCUUCGGUCCGGGCGUGACACAGCAGCCAACGCCUCGGGUGAGCGCUCUGUAACCCGACGCGCUUUCAAAGAGCUGCCAAAGGGCUAUCCUGUCUGUCGGAGAGUCCCGCGGGAGAUUUAAAAGACCGACUAAGCGUGUAGAAAGACGGACGGAUCGGCUUUCGGACAGGGGUUCGACUCCCCUCGCCUCCACCA